GAUGAACGCUGGCGGCGUGCCUAAUACGUGCAAGUCGAGCGAACAGAUGAGGAGCUUGCUCCUCUGACGUUAGCGGCGGACGGGUGAGUAACACGUGGAUAACCUACCUAUAAGACUGGGAUAACUUCGGGAAACCGGAGCUAAUACCGGAUAAUAUAUUGAACCGCAUGGUUCAAUAGUGAAAGACGGUUUUGCUGUCACUUAUAGAUGGAUCCGCGCCGCAUUAGCUAGUUGGUAAGGUAACGGCUUACCAAGGCAACGAUGCGUAGCCGACCUGAGAGGGUGAUCGGCCACACUGGAACUGAGACACGGUCCAGACUCCUACGGGAGGCAGCAGUAGGGAAUCCUCCGCAAUGGGCGAAAGCCUGACGGAGCAACGCCGCGUGAGUGAUGAAGGUCUUCGGAUCGUAAAACUCUGUUAUUAGGGAAGAACAAAUGUGUAAGUAACUAUGCACGUCUUGACGGUACCUAAUCAGAAAGCCACGGCUAACUACGUG
rnacentral:rRNA from 1 species